rnacentral:sRNA from 1 species
CUUCUUUUUCUCCUAUAGUUUUAAUUGAGUUAAACUUGUGAGAAGUCUUAUUUGAACGUCCAGAUUCUGUUACAAGUACCUGGAUAGAGAAAUAGAAAAGAUGGUAUAUAUCCAAAUGAAACAAAACGGAUUUGGGGUAUUUUUCACAUUAAGACAAACAGAUCUGAAAUUACUGGUUGAAGAUCCGGAGUUGUGAGGAGAUGGUAACCAAGAAUUGAGAUGUUAAAGGAGUGUCUGGUAUGAUGAAGACAGAGUACCGAAACUGAGGAAAAAAGAAGAGAACAGAUAGAUGGCAGAGGGUGUGGUGUGAGGAGGGUUGUUACGAGACGAGGGAAAGGUGGAUAUAUAAAGAAGAAGAGAAAGAGCUUAGGAUUCACAGUGACGCCACGUGCUAGCUGUUCUAUGUGGCAUGCUAAAGCCGCUUCAUGGGUGGGUCCUACCAUCUGGGUAGGUUCGGUCGUGAACUAGGAACCUGUGUGCUGUGCUGUGCUCCGCUGCGGCUGAUAGACACCGUAAAUAAAUACUUUCUAUUAUUAGUAACUAUUUUUUUUCACUCGUACUAGGAAGAUACUUUCUAAAAUAAUUAAAUAUUUCAAG